UACGAGGGGGGCAAGCGUUGUUCGGAUUCACUGGGCGUAAAGGGUGCGUAGGUGGUGAGGUAAGUCGGAUGUGAAAUCUCCGAGCUCAACUCGGAAAUGGCAUUGGAAACUACCUUGCUAGAGGGUUGGAGGGGGGACUGGAAUACUUGGUGUAGCAGUGAAAUGCGUAGAUAUCAAGUGGAACACCAGUGGCGAAGGCGAGUCCCUGGACAACUCCUGACACUGAGGCACGAAAGCUAGGGGAGCAAACAGG
rnacentral:rRNA from 1 species